rnacentral:rRNA from 1 species
UACGGGGGGGGCAAGCGUUGUUCGGAAUUACUGGGCGUAAAGGGCUCAUAGGCGGCCAACUAAGUCAGACGUGAAAUCCCUCGGCUUAACCGGGGAACUGCGUCUGAUACUGGAUGGCUAGAGGUUGGGAGGGGGAUGCGGAAUUCCAGGUGUAGCGGUGAAAUGCGUAGAUAUCUGGAGGAACACCGGUGGCGAAGGCGGCAUCCUGGACCAAUUCUGACGCUGAUGAGCGAAAGCCAGGGGAGCAAACGGG